CAAGAAAGCGCUUCUUAACAUACCACGUGAGGGUGAUUCAAAAGAUGAAAGCCUAUAAAAAUUAAUGGUCAGAGAAGAAUGUGGACUAGUAAAUCAACAACCGCAUUAUUAAAAACAGAGGAAAUAUAAUUGGCUACAUAUGGUGACACUAUAACAAGCCUUCUGCUGGCUGGAUUUAUCCUCAGCAUACCUAUAAUGGUCCCUGACACUUCAUGGCUCACUUCUUUCUGCCAGUAGUUCCAAGGGAAGAGGCAUCCAUGUAAAUCCUGGGAUUCAUUGGAAUCAAACCAGUUUGGGAGAUUUGUGUGUUCCUGCACCAAUCAUUCUUGGACCAGCACAAUUGGAAUUAUGGUGUAUGGAAAAGGGACAGAGAAGAAGUGGAGGAAAGGGCACUUAAUCACCUGUUACUUAUGAAAAGAAGAUUGUUGGAAGCUGCUGCAUGCUUCUUCCAUCUCAUUGGUUCAUGGCCACACUUAACCAACUACAAGGUACAGAAGCAUUGAGAGAGUGGGUAGGCUAAAUUUGAGCGUCUAUUAUCCAAUGAAUAUUUCUUUCCUAUUCUAUGAAAGGAAUAGAACAUGAGUAUUGUGA
rnacentral:lncRNA from 1 species